AUUAGUUACGGGACUUAAAGGAGCUUAGAGUGCCAGGGAACACGCACCUAUCAUCCAUAAGUCGUAAUUACAAUUAUGACGUGGUAUCUUGGAUUUAACAAAGGAAAACCAAAAAACUCGAGUCUCUCCCAUGGACACAGGUCUUCAGGCAAUAGACCAAAUCGAACCGGCAAAGUCAGCCCUUGCUUCAUCAACCCAGUAGUUCAUUGAUGUACACAGUCACUUCGGCCCACAAACAGCUCCUUACCCUUGCCAGAAAAGAUUAAUGCGGGUGCUUCUACAAGCCCAGCGCUUGUGGUCAUUGCUUCCCAGUGGCCCAGCUGCCCUCCUGCCUCUGCUCCUGCCCCCGCAGUCUAGCCUCUGGAGCAGUAAUCUUCUAGAGCAUUAAUCUGAUCAAGAUAUUCUGCCUGCUUAAGACCUGCCAGCUGUUUCCCAUCGUAGCCAGCCAUGGAGGCUUUUCCAAAGGGCUUACACAUCCAGCCUGUGUCUGUUUCAUGACCUCUCCCCUGGAUCUUCUUUCUCUGUGCUUCAGUGCCUCUGGCCUUGGCCUUGGGAUGCACCAAGCUCCUUCCACGCCCAGGGCCCCUGGCUUACUGCCCUGCUCCCCACCUUUGCUUCUCAAGUCUGUGUGGCACAGGCUCCUUUUCGGAACUACCACAGCUUCACAGUGCCACCUCCAACACUCCAAACCUCCUUGACUACUGGGGCUAAAGCCACCCCCCUUCCACACACCCUAUGGUUUUCUUGUCUCUCUCUCCUAACCUGUAUCUGAAUAUCACAUUAGCUGACCCACUUUCCAAGUGCUCACUCUCCACUGUUGCAAAGUUAGCUUCAUGAGAGGGGUUUGGGGGUUCUGCUUCUUCCUGGAACAGGUUCUAGUAAAGAAGACACUCAGAAUAUAUUCUGGAUCUGACUCACAGUGAGAUUUGCUGUGUUUUCUCUUCUACUGUGGCAUCUGGUGACAUGAACAGGUUUAUAGAUAUCUGGGAGGUCAACGUUAGGCAAAAAAGGAAGUGUCAGUCUAACCAAUUGACAAUGCAGAUGUGUUUUGACCUAUGCAAAUUUUCAUGUAUAUACACUUACUAAAGCCAUACUUUAAGUGGGGGUCUGAGAACUGUACUUUUUUUUAGCACUAAGGUUUAAACCCAUUUCCUGGUGCAUGCUAGCAAGUGUCUGCCCUUGAAUUAUAUCUCCAGCUUUCUCUCUCUUGUCAUUUUCAGACUGGUUCUCACCAAGUUACCCAAGGUGGCCUGGAACUCACUCUGUAGACCAAGGAGGUCUUGAACAGGUGAUCCUGCUGACUCAGCUUCCCCCAUAAACUAGAAUGACAGGCCUUUGCCACCAGGUCCACUGAAGGCAACUGGAAGGGUCUUUUAUCCAAAGCAGACUAUAACCCACCUUGACUAGUUUGAGUCCUCACUGAACAUCUGUAUUUUUCAUGUGAUGUGAUAUAUGUAACACGGAUUUGAAAAUGAUGUCUUGAAAGAAAUUAUUUAAACCAUCAUCGUCGUCAUCAUCAUCAUCAUCAUCAUCAUCAGAUACCAUAAACAUAAUUUUCAAAGUUUUAUAGGAAGUAGUGAGAAGUAAGGCAGGACCAUUUCUCAGAGGAUGGAAGCAGUUGGCAUGCAAGCCAGACAAAGGCCUGAGUUCAGUCCCCAGCACCCAUAUAAAAAGCUGAUGUCGUGUCAAGCAGCACCAAUCCCAACACUCCUAGUGUGAGAUGAGAGGCAGAGUCGGGAGUUAGUGGGUCAGCUAACCUGGAGCACCUAGGACAUGGGCAGAAACAAGAGAGGCCCUGUCUCAACAAGGUGGAAGGUGAAAACCCAGUCCCAAAAGUUGUCCUCUUCCCUCUACUUAUGGGCCAUCAAGUACAUGUGUGUACGCACGCACGCACACACGCACGCAUGCACACCCAGAGAGGGGGGGGAUUUGUCAUUUAGUAAGAAAUAGAGUUAAGAAUUUACCUCAGUGGCAGACAUAGCAUUUGUCCUGAGUUCAGACCCUACUUUGGGGAAUAAAACAAACAAAC
rnacentral:lncRNA from 1 species